CGGACGGUGACAGCGAAACGGAUAACAGUCUUCAGUACCUGCUGGUCUUUGAAGCUCUGGAUUGUGGGACUGUUGGAAAAGAGGCGGCGGCGAGAGGGGAGACCUCGGCUCAUCCAGCUGGAGAGCCUGACCAGGAGGAGUCGAACAUUAACUCGGCUCUUCCAGGGCACCCUGCAGGCUCGGCUGCUGGCAUUGGUGAGGGAGUGCGGCUGCCGCUGGGAUGACGUGAACGCCAAACUGGAGUCCAUCACAGGUCGACUGCAGCUCCUUGUCUCAGAGUGGGAGGGAUUUGAAGCACAAAGGGAGGAGCUUGUUCUUUAGUUGGCUGAUAUGGAUGUCCCCCAGCAUGAGGUUGACCAGCUGACAGGAAACACCUGUGAAAAACUAAAACAACUCCAGGUGUGGGGUUGUUUUGAUAUGACAUAUAUUUGAUAUGAUACAGAGACAUUAUCCUGAACUGAACUAAUAAAGAACCAUGAGUCGAGCAUGAAACUUAUCUUACAUAACGCUGAAGUUCAUUGAUAAUUUUAAUAAAAAAACUUGUUGUUGAAAUAUUUUUAUUGAACAUGCAAACAUCUGCUGAUGAAAAUGUCUUGAUUUAUUGGUCUGUUAUAAAGCAAUUGCUAUUUCUAAUGUGUUUUUAUCAAUUUCUGAUGUUUUAUUAAUUAAAGAAUACAUGUAUUAAUUGUUGUGUUAUCUAUAGAUAUAGUAUUUAUAUCUAUUUAUUUAUAGUAUAGUAAAAAUAUUUAAUUAUUACUGUUUAAACGACUAAUAUGUGACAUGUAUUAGUAGUGAUGUUGUGCUGAGGGUCAGUGGCGU